rnacentral:rRNA from 1 species
UACAGAGGUCCCAAGCGUUGCUCGGAUUCACUGGGCGUAAAGGGUGCGUAGGUGGUGGGGUAAGUCGGAUGUGAAAGCUCGGAGCUCAACUCCGAAAUGGCAUUGGAAACUACCCUGCUAGAGGAUUGGAGGGGGGACUGGAAUACUUGGUGUAGCAGUGAAAUGCGUAGAUAUCAAGUGGAACACCAGUGGCGAAGGCGAGUCCCUGGACAAUACCUGACACUGAGGCACGAAAGCUAGGGGAGCAAACAGG